rnacentral:rRNA from 1 species
UACGGGGGGAGCAAGCGUUUGUUCGGAUUUACUGGGCGUAAAGGGCGCGUAGGCGGCCUCUGCAAGUCGACUGUGAAAUCUCCGGGCUUAACCCGGAAAGGUCAGCCGAUACUGCAGGGCUAGAGUGCAGAAGGGGCAACUGGAAUUCUCGGUGUAGCGGUGAAAUGCGUAGAUAUCGAGAGGAACACCUGCGGCGAAGGCGGGUUGCUGGGCUGACACUGACGCUGAGGCGCGAAAGCUAGGGGAGCGAACGGG